GAAGAUAUACUUUAUAGGCAAAUUUUAUGUGGAUUGCCGGGGUUUUCGCCCAAAAUUCUGGGGAAAAUAUUCAACCCCGAUGAGGACUUUUCAGUGUGAUCCUCUGAGCGGGAACCGGGUCCUUUCGUAUUUUGUAAAAGCAUUUAUGACCGUUUUGGUCGGUAUACCGGUCUAGAGGGGGUUUUACGAGACUGGGGU